rnacentral:rRNA from 1 species
GACGAACGCUGGCGGCGUGCCUAAUACAUGCAAGUAGAACGCUGAAGCUUGGUGCUUGCACCGAGCGGAUGAGUUGCGAACGGGUGAGUAACGCGUAGGUAACCUGCCUGGUAGCGGGGGAUAACUAUUGGAAACGAUAGCUAAUACCGCAUAAGAGUAGAUGUUGCAUGACAUUUGCUUAAAAGGUGCAAUUGCAUCACUACCAGAUGGACCUGCGUUGUAUUAGCUAGUUGGUGAGGUAACGGCUCACCAAGGCAACGAUACAUAGCCGACCUGAGAGGGUGAUCGGCCACACUGGGACUGAGACACGGCCCAGACUCCUACGGGAGGCAGCAGUAGGGAAUCUUCGGCAAUGGACGGAAGUCUGACCGAGCAACGCCGCGUGAGUGAAGAAGGUUUUCGGAUCGUAAAGCUCUGUUGUAAGAGAAGAACGAGUGUGAGAGUGGAAAGUUCACACUGUGACGGUAUCUUACCAGAAAGGGACGGCUAACUACGUGCCAGCAGCCGCGGUAAU